AUUGAACGCUGGCGGCAGGCCUAACACAUGCAAGUCGAACGAGCGGCGGACGGGUGAGUAAUGUCUGGGAACCUGCCUGAUGGAGGGGGAUAACUACUGGAAACGGUGGCUAAUACCGCAUCCUAUCAGAUGUACCCAUAUGGGAUUAGCUAGUGGGGGGGGUAACGGCGCACCAAGGCGACGAUCCCUAGCUGGUCUGAGAGGAUGAGCAGCCACACUGGGACUGAGACACGGCCCAGACUCCUACGGGAGGCAGCAGUGGGGAAUAUUGCACAAUGGGCGCAAGCCUGAUGCAGCCAUGCCGCGUGUAUGAAGAAGGCCUUAGGGUUGUAAAGUACUUUCAGCGGGGAGGCGUUACCCGCAGAAGAAGCACCGGCUAACUCCGUGCCAGCAGCCGCGGUAAUUC
rnacentral:rRNA from 1 species